rnacentral:rRNA from 1 species
UACGUAGGGUGCAAGCAUUAAUCGGAAUUAUUGGGCGUAAAGGGCGCGUAGGCGGAUUGAUAAGUCAGAUGUGAAAUACCAAGGCUCAACCUUGGUGCUGCAUUUGAAACUAUUUUUCUAGAGGAUUGACGGAGAAAGGGGAAUUCCACGAGUAGCGGUGAAAUGCGUAGAUACGUGGAGGAACACCGGUGGCGAAAGCGCCUUUCUAGUUUUUACCUGACGCUGAGGCGCGAGAGCAAGGGGAGCAAACAGG